CACGCCGUAAACGGUGGGCGCUAGGUGUGGGUUUCCUUCCACGGGAUCCGUGCCGUAGCUAACGCAUUAAGCGCCCCGCCUGGGGAGUACGGCCGCAAGGCUAAAACUCAAAGGAAUUGACGGGGGCCCGCACAAGCGGCGGAGCAUGUGGAUUAAUUCGAUGCAACGCGAAGAACCUUACCUGGGUUUGACAUACACCGGAAACCUGCAGAGAUGUAGGCCCCCUUGUGGUCGGUGUACAGGUGG
rnacentral:rRNA from 1 species